UACAGAGGGUGCGAGCGUUAAUCGGAAUUACUGGGCGUAAAGCGCGCGUAGGCGGCUUUGCAAGCCGGAUGUGAAAUCCCCGGGCUUAACCUGGGAACUGCAUUCGGGACUGCAUUGCUAGAGUAUGGGAGAGGGAAGUGGAAUUUCAGGUGUAGCGGUAAAAUGCGUAGAUAUCUGAAGGAACAUCAGUGGCGAAAGCGACUUCCUGGACCAAUACUGACGCUCAUGUGCGAAAGCGUGGGGAGCAAACAGG
rnacentral:rRNA from 1 species